CAAUAUCACUUUCAAACACCGAUCCCCGUACAAUCACCGAAGUUAAGCAACGUCGAGCCUGGUCAGUACGUAGAUGGUUAACCACUUGUGAAUAAUAGAAGCUGUAAG